GGUUAAGCGACUAAGCGUACACGGUGGAUGCCCUGGCAGUCAGAGGCGAUGAAGGACGUGCUAAUCUGCGAAAAGCGUCGGUAAGGUGAUAUGAACCGUUAUAACCGGCGAUGUCCGAAUGGGGAAACCCAGUGUGAUUCGUCACACUAUCGUUAACUGAAUACAUAGGUUAACGAGGCGAACCGGGGGAACUGAAACAUCUAAGUACCCCGAGGAAAAGAAAUCAACCGAGAUUCCCCCAGUAGCGGCGAGCGAACGGGGAGCAGCCCAGAGUCUGAAUCAGCUUGUGUGUUAGUGGAACGGUCUGGAAAGUCCGACGGUACAGGGUGAUAGUCCCGUACACCAAAAUGCACAGGCUGUGAACUCGAAGAGUAGGGCGGGACACGUGGUAUCCUGUCUGAAUAUGGGGGGACCAUCCUCCAAGGCUAAAUACUCCUGACUGACCGAUAGUGAACCAGUACCGUGAGGGAAAGGCGAAAAGAACCCCGGCGAGGGGAGUGAAAAAGAACCUGAAACCGUGUACGUACAAGCAGUGGGAGCACCUUCGGGUGUGACUGCGUACCUUUUGUAUAAUGGGUCAGCGACUUAUAUUCUGUAGCAAGGUUAACCGUAUAGGGGAGCCGCAGGGAAACCGAGUCUUAACUGGGCGUUAAGUUGCAGGGUAUAGACCCGAAACCCGGUGAUCUAGCCAUGGGCAGGUUGAAGGUUGGGUAACACUAACUGGAGGACCGAACCGACUAAUGUUGAAAAAUUAGCGGAUGACUUGUGGCUGGGGGUGAAAGGCCAAUCAAACCGGGAGAUAGCUGGUUCUCCCCGAAAGCUAUUUAGGUAGCGCCUCGUGAACUCAUCUUCGGGGGUAGAGCACUGUUUCGGCUAGGGGGUCAUCCCGACUUACCAACCCGAUGCAAACUACGAAUACCGAAGAAUGUUAUCACGGGAGACACACGGCGGGUGCUAACGUCCGUCGUGAAGAGGGAAACAACCCAGACCGCCAGCUAAGGUCCCAAAGUCAUGGUUAAGUGGGAAACGAUGUGGGAAGGCACAGACAGCCAGGAUGUUGGCUUAGAAGCAGCCAUCAUUUAAAGAAAGCGUAAUAGCUCACUGGUCGAGUCGGCCUGCGCGGAAGAUGUAACGGGGCUAAACCAUGCACCGAAGCUGCGGCAGCGACACUAUGUGUUGUUGGGUAGGGGAGCGUUCUGUAAGCCUGCGAAGGUGUGCUGUGAGGCAUGCUGGAGGUAUCAGAAGUGCGAAUGCUGACAUAAGUAACGAUAAAGCGGGUGAAAAGCCCGCUCGCCGGAAGACCAAGGGUUCCUGUCCAACGUUAAUCGGGGCAGGGUGAGUCGACACCUAAGGCGAGGCCGAAAGGCGUAGUCGAUGGGAAACAGGUUA
rnacentral:rRNA from 1 species